rnacentral:rRNA from 1 species
CGGAGGAUCCAAGCGUUAUCCGGAAUCAUUGGGUUUAAAGGGUCCGUAGGCGGGUUUAUAAGUCAGUGGUGAAAGCCCAUCGCUCAACGAUGGAACGGCCAUUGAUACUGUAGAUCUUGAAUUAUUAGGAAGUAACUAGAAUAUGUAGUGUAGCGGUGAAAUGCUUAGAGAUUACAUGGAAUACCAAUUGCGAAGGUAGGUUACUACUAAUGGAUUGACGCUGAUGGACGAAAGCGUGGGUAGCGAACAGGAUUAGAUACCCUGGUAGUCCACGCCGUAAACGAUGGAUACUAGCUGUUCGGAGCAAUCUGAGUGGCUAAGCGAAAGUGAUAAGUAUCCCACCUGGGGAGUACGUUCGCAAGAAUG